rnacentral:rRNA from 1 species
GACGAACGCUGGCGGCGUGCUUAACACAUGCAAGUCGAACGGAAAGGCCCUGCUUUUGUGGGGUGCUCGAGUGGCGAACGGGUGAGUAACACGUGAGUAACCUGCCCUUGACUUUGGGAUAACUUCAGGAAACUGGGGCUAAUACCGGAUAGGAGCUCCUGCUGCAUGGUGGGGGUUGGAAAGUUUCGGCGGUUGGGGAUGGACUCGCGGCUUAUCAGCUUGUUGGUGGGGUAGUGGCUUACCAAGGCUUUGACGGGUAGCCGGCCUGAGAGGGUGACCGGCCCCUUGGGCGCGGGGCCCCCCCCCGGGCUUCCCCGGCAGCGUGGGGUGGGAAAUACUGCCCAGGGGCCGGGGGGGUGAAGCAGCGCCGCCUGUGGCAGAAUGGGGGGCUUGGGGUUGUAAAACCCUUCCGCCGGUGAGGAGGCGCUGGGGGUGGUAAUGGGUAAAGACCCGCCGGCAACCGUCG